AUGACCUCCUUGGUGGUCUACACUGCCACGGCCCUCGUCAUCCCUCCCGACAUUUUAAGCAACAUCACCAGGCUGGAGUGUGCCUUCUUCUGGUCGGGGUCUAGCAAAACGACCGGGUCCAAAUGUAAAGUCAACUGGGAAAGCGUCUGUAGGCCUAAGGAGUGUGGCGGCCUUGGUGUGCUCAAUCUUGCGAAUUUUUGCCAAGCACUCAGACUCCGCUGGUUGUGGCUCGAGUGGACGGACCCUUCUCGCUUGUGGGUUGGGCUUGGAAAUCCAUGCGACAAGGACGACAAAGCUUUUUUCUACGCCUCCACUACUAUCACGAUUGGGGAUGGGGCGCGCGCCCCUUUUUGGGAGUCCCCAUGGCUCAAUGGGAGGAAACCAAAAGAUAUUGCCCCGCUUAUUUUUGACGCCUCCAAGAGGAAAACCUGGAAGGCCAGGGAGGCAUUAUCACAGAUUGUCUGGAUCACCAAGAUCAAUAUGACGAUAAUAUUCACACUCGAGCACAUUCGGCAAUUCCUGGAUCUUUGGAUCCUCCUUCGCGGAGUGCAGCUACAAGUGGGCGUGGAGGAUACCAUUUUGUGGAAACACACGGCCUGUAGGAGCUACUCGGCGUCUUCGGCUUAUAACGUGCCCUACUUGACAAUCACCCGUUCUGCCAUGUACAAGGUGGUCUGGACAGCCUGGGCCCCCCCCGAAAGUAAAAUUUCUUGCAUGGCUUGCCAUCCAAGACAGGUUAUGGACAUCCGUUCGCUUGGCCAAGCGAGGGUGGCCAAACAGUGGCCCAUGCACCUUCUGUAG
rnacentral:rRNA from 1 species